CCUACGGGAGGCAGCAGUGGGGAAUAUUGCACAAUGGGGGAAACCCUGAUGCAGCGACGCCGCGUGAGUGAAGAAGUAAUUCGUUAUGUAAAGCUCUAUCAGCAGGGACGAAACUGACGGUACCUGAGUAAGAAGCCCCGGCUAACUACGUGCCAGCAGCCGCCGUAAUACGUAGGGGGCAAGCGUUAUCCGGAUUUACUGGGUGUAAAGGGAGCGUAGACGGCAGUGCAAGUCUGGAGUGAAAGGCGGGGGCUCAACCCCCGGAGUGCACUGGAAACUGUACGGCUGGAGUGCGGGAGAGGUAAGUGGAAUUCCUGGUGUAGCGGUGAAAUGCGUAGAUAUUAGGAGGAACACCAGUGGCGAAGGCGGCUUACUGGACUGUAACUGACGUUGAGGCUCGAAAGCGUGGGGAGCAAACAGGAUUAGAUACCCGGGUAGUC
rnacentral:rRNA from 1 species